AACGAACGCUGGCGGCAGGCUUAACACAUGCAAGUCGAACGCACCUUCCGGGCUUAGUGGCGGACGGGGGGGUAACGCGUGGGAAUCUACCCUUCUCUACGGGAUACCUCCGGGAGAGUGGACUUAAUACAGUAUACGUCCUGACGGAGAAAGAUUUAUGGGGGCAGGAUGAGCGCGCGUUGGAUUAGCUAGUUGGUGGGGUACAGGCCUGGCAAGGCGACGAUCCAGAGCUGGUCUGGGAGGAUGACCAGCCACGUUGGGGAUGCGACCCGGCCCAAUCUCGGACGGAAGGGAGCAGUGGGGUAUAUUGUGCGAGGGGCGCAAGUCUGACAAAGCCAUGCCGCGGGAGUGGGGAAGGGGCUAGGGUUGUGAAUCUCCCUGAGACGGGACGUGAGUGACGGUACCCACAGAAGAAGCCCCGGCUAACUUCGUG
rnacentral:rRNA from 1 species